rnacentral:misc_RNA from 1 species
AAUCCAAUCAAGCCUGGCUUGGUAUUGGGCGUCGGGGUGUCCCGCGCCUCAAUUUCACCGGCUGGCCGUCGCCCGUCUUAGCGUUGUGACACACUUCUCGCUGACGAUGGGGGCGGACCACGCCGUUAGAACUCCAUGAAUUUCAAUCGAAAUUCGAUUA